ACUUAAUACAAGAAAGUUACAUUUAAGAAAUAGUUAGUAAAUUAAAAGAAAUUGAAUGUAUUGUGCUGGGGUGGCAAAGAUAAAAUAUUUAACUGUCUUUAAAAUUAAAUAAUGGUAAUUAGAUAGUGAUCCCUUACUAGGGAUUAUAAGAUUAAGUU
rnacentral:rRNA from 1 species